ensembl:lncRNA
GUGAGAAGGAGAGAGGAGAGAAGGAGCGAGGUGAGAAGGAGAGAGGUGAGAAGGAGAGAGGAGAGAAGGAGCGAGGUGAGAAGGAGAGAGGAGAGAGAAGGAGAGAGGAGAGAAGGAGAGAAGGAGCGAGGUGAGAAGGAGAGAGGAGAGAAGGAGUGAGGUGGAGCGAGGAGAGAAGGAGCGAGGUGAGAAGGAGAGAAGGAGCGAGGUGAGAAGGAGUGAGGAGAGAAGGAGAGAGGAUAGAAGGAGUGAGGAGAGAAGGAGUGAGGAGAGAAGGAGUGAGGUGAGAAGGAGCGAGGUGAGAAGGAGUGAGGUGAGAAGGAGAGAGGAGAGAAGGAGCGACGUGGAGCGAGGAGAAAAGGAGCGAGGUGAGAAGGAGUGAGGAGAGAAGGAGAGAAGAGAGAAGGAGUGAGGAGAGAAGGAGGGAGGAGAGAAGGAGAGAAG